rnacentral:rRNA from 1 species
UGGGGAAUUUUGGACAAUGGGGGAAACCCUGAUCCAGCCAUCCCGCGUGUGCGAUGAAGGCCUUCGGGUUGUAAAGCACUUUUGGCAGGAAAGAAACGUCAUGGGUUAAUACCCCGUGAAACUGACGGUACCUGCAGAAUAAGCACCGGCUAACUACGUGCCAGCAGCCGCGGUAAUACGUAGGGUGCAAGCGUUAAUCGGAAUUACUGGGCGUAAAGCGUGCGCAGGCGGUUCGGAAAGAAAGAUGUGAAAUCCCAGAGCUCAACUUUGGAACUGCAUUUUUAACUACCGGGCUAGAGUGUGUCAGAGGGGGGUGGAAUUCCGCGUGUAGCAGUGAAAUGCGUAGAUAUGCGGAGGAACACCGAUGGCGAGGGCAGCCUCCUGGGAUAACACUGACGCUCAUGCACGAAAGCGUGGGGAGCAAACAGG